rnacentral:rRNA from 1 species
GUAGUCCACGCCGUAAACGAUGGGCACUAGGUGCCGGGGGGAGCGACCCCUUCGGUGCCGCAGCUAACGCGAUAAGUGCCCCGCCUGGGGAGUACGGCCGCAAGGCUGAAACUCAAAGGAAUUGACGGGGGCCCGCACAAGCGGUGGAGCAUGUGGUUUAAUUCGCAGCAACGCGAAGAACCUUACCUGGGUUUGACAUGCACGGGAAAGCCUCUGGAAACAGGGGGCCCUCUUCGGAGCUCGUGCACAGGUGCUGCAUGGCUGUCGUCAGCUCGUGUCGUGAGAUGUUGGGUUAAGUCCCGCAACGAGCGCAACCCUUGCCCCGUGUUACUAACGGAUCAUGCCGAGGACUCUCGGGGGACUGCCGGCGUCAAGCCGGAGGAAGGUGGGGACGACGUCAAGUCAUCAUGGCCCUUACGCCCAGGGCGACACACGUGCUACAAUGGCCGGUACAAAGGGCAGCAAGGUCGCAAGACGGAGCGAAUCCCAGAAAGCCGGUCCAAGUUCGGAUUGUGGGCUGCAACUCGCCCACAUGAAGCCGGAAUCGCUAGUAAUCGCGGAUCAGCCACGCCGCGGUGAAUA